rnacentral:rRNA from 1 species
CACGUAGGGGGCGAGCGUUGUCCGGAUUUAUUGGGCGUAAAGAGCUCGUAGGCGGCUCGGUAAGUCAGGUGUGAAAACUCUAGGCUCAACCUAGAGACGCCACCUGAUACUGCUGUGGCUAGAGUCCGGUAGGGGAGCAUGGAAUUCCUGGUGUAGCGGUGAAAUGCGCAGAUAUCAGGAGGAACACCAGUGGCGAAGGCGGAUCUCUGGGCCAUUACUGACGCUGAGGAGCGAAAGCGUGGGGAGCGAACAGG